rnacentral:rRNA from 1 species
AGUGAACGCUGGCGGCGUGCCUAAUACAUGCAAGUCGAACGGAGUGGCGCACGGGUGAGUAAUAUAUAGCUACUCUGCCCCUUGCUGGGGCACACCAGUGAGAAAGGACUGCUAUUACUCCAUAGCAAGGGAUGAGACUAUAUCGUAUAAGCUAGUCGGUGCGGUAACGGCCUACCGAGGCUAUGACCCGUAACUGGUCUGAGAGGAUGAUCAGUCAAAUUGGAAACGAGACACGGUCCAAACAUCUAAGGGAGGAAGCAAGAUGGAAUAAUGCGAAAUGGGGGAGAAACUAACGCAGCAUCGCCGCGUGGAGUAUGACCAUUUUCGGCGGGUAAACUCCUUUUAGUAGCGAAGCGGUAUCUAAAGAAUAAGCAGCGGCUAACUCCGUGCCAGCAGACGCGGUAAUUC